rnacentral:rRNA from 1 species
AUACGUAGGGUGCAAGCGCUAAUCGGAAUUACUGGGCGUAAAGCGUGCGCAGGCGGUUUUGUAAGACAGAGGUGAAAUCCCCGGGCUCAACCUGGGAAAUGCCUUUGUGACUGCAAGGCUAGAGGACGGCAGAGGGGGAUGGAAUUCCGCGUGUAGCAGUGAAAUGCGUAGAUAUGCGGAGGAACACCGAUGGCGAAAGCAAUCCCCUGGGCCUGUACUGACGCUCAUGCACGAAAGCGUGGGGAGCAAACAGGAUUAGAUACCCUGGUAGUCCACGCCCUAAACGAUGUCAACUGGUUGUUGGGUCUUCAUUGACUCAGUAACGAAGCUAACGCGUGAAGUUGACCGCCUGGGGAGUACGGCCGCAAGGUUGAAACUUAAAGGAAUUGACGGGG